rnacentral:lncRNA from 1 species
GAGCUACCCAUUUGAGCUGAUGUGACAAGAGAAGACAAAGCAAGAUAAGAUGCACCACAUCAGUAGCCUACAGCCUGAACACUAGCAAGCUCUGAAAAGGAAGCAGCUGCUCCCCCACCCUACGCAAGUGCUUCAAGAAGCUCUGCACUAUGGUUUCAACUUGAACCGUGUCUAACCAGCCUCCUCUCUGAUAUGCAAAAUUAUGAUGACUUGGAAAGCUCAAAGAGAAGUGUCUGGAAUCAGAAUUGCUUGGUGGAAAGGCAAAGCAGGAGGACCCACAUUGGAUUAUAAACCUCUCUGGAAGAAAAUCUUACUCAGGAGGCAAACAGACUUCUUCCCAUGAACACUAGGCUAGAAACAACCCAUUAAACCCAUCAAGUGGAGAAUAGGAAAUGAGAAAGAAGACAAUGGACUCUACAUAGAAAACAUCUAUCUACAAACAUGAGCAGCUGCCUGGAGCCCUAUCCAUCAUCCACAUUCAGGUUCCCACGAUCAAUGCCACAGUCAGUCAUUGGCCAUCCUUGAAACACCAGAAUCAUUAUGAACAAACACCAGAGACUCACAGAUUGAAUUCCUCUUACUGCUCCAGAGGCCAGCAAUGCCAAACAUACAGGAUGCACAAAAAUUGCUUUAUGAGAUUGCUGAUUCUCUGAGACCAGCUACAUCCUUUUCUUGAAUCUUAUCUUUCUCAUCUACUUCUCUGACUCCAGAGCUUUUCUAUAAUAAUGUUUUGAGCUGAAAGUACACUAUAUUUCAGAUCUCCCUUUAAUAUUUUGGUUAAGAUGAAAAUCAUGUCUCUCAAGAGGGAGAAUAUCCAAAUUUGAAUCUUGACCUUUAUUUGGAUUCCCGGAGUAACUUUGUGAAAACUCUCUUAUUCUCCCAUUCCCCAUUCCAUUAUUUAUAAAAUAA